AAUUUGGAGGUCAUUUGAGAGGCACGAAACAAAGGCCUGUAUUGGUUACAUGCAGCUAAGCACACAACACGCACGCAGGCGGCGAACAAAAGAAUAGAACUUUUUGGGCGUCCGGUUCAGGGACGACCCCAAACUAUUCCACCUACACCAAUACAAACGCUCCGAAUGUGCGAUAGGACUACUGCGACACAGUCACGACUGUCACGAAACGCCCAAAAACUACCGCCGCCGUCGCGAACCAGACGUGUGACGUCGGAAUAACAAAAAAAAACAAUAACAAUGUUUUGACGUAAAACAAACGUUAUUUAUAGCAAAACACAACGUGUCUGCAUUGUAUUCAUAUUCCGUUGCCAUUCGCAGCACGAUACCUAAUUACCGAUGAGUAAUACUCGCCGCCUGCAUUAAAUAUUUGAUGAAAGCGAAUGCAAAUUGCGCGUCGAUUUCGACUGCUUUCGGACGGAGCCAAUCAGCAACGAGGCGAUAAACAACUUUUGCUUUAUUACUCUUUUCAUGCGUCUGCAACACGAAAAAUGACGAAAUUUUGUUUGAGAAACUCAUGAAUAACCGUCGAGAGGUAGCUACCUACCUACCUAUAGAUGGUUAAUUAUUUUUACUGCCAUGCUGAAAUAAUUGAUUUCAUUUGAUUUGGCGUGUCACGCCGGAUGAUUCAUGUGAAAAUCGUAGAAUAAUAAAAAUUCGAAGGCUUCUAGUGAGUUUUUCUACAUUUAGUGACUAGUUAAGCUGAGAUCCUGGAAUUUUAUUAUCGGAAAUUCUUUAAAGAUUGUAUCAUUUAUCAAAGUAUAAAAUAACAUUAAAUCUUGUGUUUUAAAAGUCUGUUAAAAUUCUAGUAGGCAACCUGAAUAACAUGAGUUAUAAAAUACUAAUUGUCAUAUUGACAUGUGUUUUGUCGGUUUGGCAACGAGAAAUAAACAUCUUUGAACCUGAA